rnacentral:rRNA from 1 species
CAGUCGCCACGGGAAUACGAGGGGGGCAAGCGUUGUUCGGAAUUAUUGGGCGUAAAGGGUGCGUAGGCGGUUUGACAAGUCUUGUGUGAAAUCUCUGGGCUCAACCCAGAGUCUGCACGGGAAACUGUCGGGCUAGAGGAUGGGAGAGGUGAGUGGAAUUUCCGGUGUAGCGGUGAAAUGCGUAGAUAUCGGAAGGAACACCUGUGGCGAAAGCGGCUCACUGGACCAUUUCUGACGCUGAUGCACGAAAGCUAGGGGAGCAAACAGGAUUAGAUACCCGCGUAGUCCCUGUCUCUUAUAC